GACACAAGUGUCCAUGGUUUUGUUCAGUCGGCCCAUAUGUGUGACAGAUGUUCGCCACUGGUUACCCUCGAGUCUGCCGUCUGUCAGUCAGCUCCUAGUGCAGAGUCGGGGGGGGGGGGGGGGCUUCUGAGGCAGAGUGAAACGACCCGGAAGUAUUUCAUCGACAGUCAUGUUAAGAGCUGUUCGGGUUCUUUCAAUGCUUGAGAAAGGUGCUACAAUGCUUCCUUUCCUAUCUCCUUUAGCAUAGUGCACACUGGACCUACGCUGGGCGAAGGAAAGGAGAAGUAGAUGCCCUACAAUUCGUUGCGGCACCAGUAUUUAACGUGACGCGCCAUGCACAAACUUAGACAAUUAAAUCCGAGGUAGAAGAAGAAGAAGAUGAAUAUGUGACCGAGAUGGCACCCUCAUCAUCAUCACCGCUGUUGGCUUUUCCUAAGUCCUAUGAAUCCUCCUUUACACCUUUACUUGACCUCAUGACGAUUUCCAUUGAGGUUAAGGAAAAGUGAUUAGGAAAAGGUGAUAGGAAGGACUUUCCAAAUCCACCCUCCGUUUUCUCUGGAAGACAUCAAGAGGACCCUGGGACAUCUGUGUCUGCAGGUGACAGGAGCCCAACAGAGGGUCAGCACUUGCUUGGGUGUUCAUGGUCCUGGUGUGGAAACUAAAUCACUCCCUGCUAAUUCCUCACCUCAUCCCAGUCCCCUCCACCAGCUGAAGGUUUGUGUAGUGUGGCGUCGGUGGAUCAUCUGAAUGACACGUUCCACCAAGAGAGCAAAUCAAGCUUGACAACAGCGUGAAAGUCUGACAAGCGCACAGAAAAAUACCCAAAAGCUGUUGUGAAUGACAGUUGUUUAAUGGAACUGUUUAAGAAGUGCCAGACGUCUGGACAGACCAUAACCAAAAAGGUGUUUCACUGUGGUGCAAAGAAGAAGGUGAGGUGGAGACACCUUGGUGGACACAUGUAUUUACUGUAUGUUUUUUGAUGUAUGUAUGUAUAUAUAUACCUUGUUUAUUUAUGUGCAUUGCUGUCUUUUUAUAAUUUAACUACCUAUCAUGUAUCUUAAUCUUUGAGAACAAAAAAACUGGGUGAAAAAACAUGAAUAAAGACAUUUAAAAUUCA